GGGGGAUUAAAGAUAUUUGAUAGGAAAAUCGAACUGAGUAGUAAAUGUAUACCAGGCGCAAGUCAUGGAGGAAAUGGAGGAAAAGCUAAGGAUAGCCCGAAAAUCUUUGUAUUGCCUGAACCGUAUGACAAAAACAGCACAGCCUCUCUGUUAGGAGGAAGUGGAGGUUCAUGCUUGGUAAAACCAGGAGACGUUUCUGGUGGAGGAGCCAUAGAACUUGUGGCUGAUAAUGGAGAGAUAAUCUUAGAUGCACCUAUUAGAGCUGAAGCCCAAGCUCACAGUACAGGAGCAUGUUCUGGGGGCUCAGGAGGACUCAUUCGCCUUAAUGCAUCUAAGGUAAUUAUUCAAGAAAAAGGAAAACUAAUUGUGGAUGGAGGGAGAGGGCAAUACCCUGAUUAUCCUGGAUACUUUUUGGCUGGCGGAGCAGGAGGUGUUAUUCAGAUAAUAGCAGCUGAAGGAGAGAUUACUGCUGAGACUUUAUCAUUGAGACAUGGAGAAAGUAACUUGGCUGAC